rnacentral:rRNA from 1 species
CCUACGGGAGGCAGCAGUGAGGAAUUUUCCGCAAUGGGCGAAAGCCUGACGGAGCAAUACCGCGUGAGGGAUGAAGGAUUUUGGUCUGUAAACCUCUUUUCUCAAGAAAGAAGUUCUGACGGUACUUGAGGAAUAAGCAUCGGCUAACUCCGUGCCAGCAGCCGCGGUAAUACGGGGGAUGCAAGCGUUGUCCGGAAUGAUUGGGCGUAAAGCGCCUGUAGGUUGUUUAUUAAGUCCGUUGUUAAAGCCUAGGGCUCAACCCUAGAAAAGCAAUGGAAACUAGUAGACUAGAGUAUGGCAGGGGUAGAGGGAAUUUCUAGUGUAGCGGUGAAAUGCGUAGAUAUUAGAAAGAACACCGGUGGCGAAAGCGCUCUACUGGACCAUUACUGACACUCAGAGGCGAAAGCUAGGGUAGCAAAAGGGAUUAGAUACCCCUGUAGUCCUAGCCGUAAACGAUGGAUACUAGAUGUUGUGCAUUAUGUACAGUAUCGUAGCUAACGCGUUAAGUAUCCCGCCUGGGGAGUACGCUCGCAAGGGCGAAACUUAAAGGAAUUGACGG